UUGACGCCGCGUGGGUGACGAAGGCCUUCGGGUUGUAAAGCCCUGUCGGGAGGGAAGAAAAACAAUAUGGCUAAUAUCCAUAAUGCUUGACGGUACCUCUAAAGGAAGCACCGGCUAACUACGUGCCAGCAGCCGCGGUAAUACGUAGGGUGCUAGCGUUGUUCGGAAUCAUUGGGCGUAAAGCGCGUGUAGGCUGUUUAUUAAGUCGGGUGUGAAAUCCCUGGGCUCAACCGAGGAAGUGCAUCCGAAACUAAUAAACUUGAAGACGGUACAGGAAGGUGGAAUUCCAAGUGUAGAGGUGAAAUUCGUAGAUAUUUGGAGGAAUACCGGUGGCGAAGGCGGCCUUCUGGGCCGUUCUUGACGCUGAGACGCGAAAGCGUGGGUAGCAAACAGGAUUAGAUACCCUGGUAGUCCACGCCGUAAACGAUGGGUACUAGGUGUCGUGGGAAUUGACCCCUACAGUGCCGAAGCUAACGCAUUAAGUAGCCCGCCUGGGAAGUACGGCCG
rnacentral:rRNA from 1 species